rnacentral:rRNA from 1 species
GAUGAACGCUGGCGGCGUGCCUAAUACAUGCAAGUCGAGCGAACAGACGAGGAGCUUGCUCCUCUGACGUUAGCGGCGGACGGGUGAGUAACACGUGGAUAACCUACCUAUAAGACUGGGAUAACUUCGGGAAACCGGAGCUAAUACCGGAUAAUAUAUUGAACCGCAUGGUUCAAUAGUGAAAGACGGUUUUGCUGUCACUUAUAGAUGGAUCCGCGCCGCAUUAGCUAGUUGGUAAGGCAACGGCUUACCAAGGCGACGAUGCGUAGCCGACCUGGGAGGGGGAUCGGCCACACUGGAACUGAGACACGGUCCAGACUCCUACGGGAGGCAGCAGUAGGGAAUCUUCCGCAAUGGGCGAAAGCCUGACGGAGCAACGCCGCGUGAGUGAUGAAGGUCUUCGGAUCGUAAAACUCUGUUAUUAGGGAAGAACAAAUGUGUAAGUAACUAUGCACGUCUUGACGGUACCUAAUCAGAAAGCCACGGCUAACUACGUG